rnacentral:tRNA from 1 species
GAUUUUACAGCUCAGUCAGUAGAGCAUCAGACUCUUAAUCUGAGGAUCCAGGGUUCAAGUCCUUGUUGGGACCA